UACGUAGGGACCAAGCGUUGUUCGGAUUUACUGGGCGUAAAGAGCGUGUAGGCGGCCAGGUAGGUCUGGUGUGAAAACUCGAGGCUUAACCUCGAGAUGUCAUCGGAAACCAUCUGGCUAGAGUCCGGAAGAGGAGAGUGGAAUUCCUGGUGUAGCGGUGAAAUGCGCAGAUAUCAGGAAGAACACCAAUGGCGAAAGCAGCUCUCUGGGACGGUACUGACGCUGAGACGCGAAAGCGUGGGGAGCGAACAGG
rnacentral:rRNA from 1 species